rnacentral:misc_RNA from 1 species
AAGUCGUAACAAGGUUUCCGUAGGUGAACCUGCGGAAGGAUCAUUAACACGUAUCCAACGUUAAACCCCCCUGUGAACUUUUAUACUUGCUCUCCUAGCCCGCCGGAAUUGCAAUAUUUUGAUUCAGGGACCUCAGUUUGGUAGGCGAAGAUCGAGCGAUCGUUGCAAGUGGCCUGGUUUCCCCAAGCAGUCAGUGUCUGGAAGUGUCAUUGAUUGUGUAAGGAUAACGCUUUUCGAUCACUAGAGGCCGAACACCGGCCGGUGACCAGGUCGCCGUGGCUUCGGCCCCCUAUAUUAACCCCACUACCUGAACUCGCCUCGUAGGAAACUGCUGGGCAACAAAACGAACAACUGUUAACAAUGGAUAUCUUGGUUCUC